rnacentral:rRNA from 1 species
UGGGGAAUAUUGGACAAUGGGCGAAAGCCUGAUCCAGCGACGUCACGUGAAUGAUGAAGACCUUAGGGUUGUAAAAUUCUUUUAGUGGAGAAGAUAAUGACGGUAUCCACAGAAAAAGUCCCGGCUAACUUCGUGCCAGCAGCCGCGGUAAUACGAAGGGGGCAAGCGUUACUCGGAAUUAUUGGGCGUAAAGCGUGCGUAGGCGGCUUUAUAAGUUGGAAGUGAAAGCCUUUGGCUCAACCAAAGAAUUGCUUACAAAACUGUAAAGCUAGAGUAUUAGAGAGGAUAGAAGAAUUUCUGAUGUAGGGGUGAAAUCCGUAGAUAUCAGAAAGAAUAUCGAAGGCGAAAGCAUCUGUCUGGCUAAAUACUGACGCUGUUGCACGAAAGCGUGGGGAGCAAACAGG